UACGUGAGGGGCAAGCGUUGUCCGGAAUUAUUGGGCGUAAAGCGCGUGUAGGCGGUCCGGUAAGUCGGCUGUGAAAGUCCAGGGCUCAACCCUGGGAUGCCGGUCGAUACUGCCGGACUAGAGUUCGGAAGAGGCGAGUGGAAUUCCCGGUGUAGCGGUGAAAUGCGCAGAUAUCGGGAGGAACGACCAGUGGCGAAGGCGACUACCUGGACAUAGCUGACACUCAGGCACGAAAGCGUGGGGAGCCAAAGGG
rnacentral:rRNA from 1 species